UGUAGCUCAGUUGGUAGAGUGCUUGUCUAGCAUACAUGAAGCUCUGGGUUCAAUCCCAAGCA
rnacentral:tRNA from 1 species